CUUCAGUGACACUUUCAACUCUUAUUGAAGCUCUCUGCUCUUGUGCCUGAAGCUUGCUAAUCAAUUCAGCUAUGGUGAGCUUUUUCAAGUCACAAGACUCCUCAAUAGCUGCUAUUUUAGCUUCAAAUUUAUCUGGAACACUGAUCAUAAUUUUCUCAACUACCUUUUGAUCAGUAAGCUCUUCAUCAUAAAGUCUCAUCUGAUUAACUAAAUCCAUCAACUUUGUUGCGUAAUCUUUAACAGAUUCAGACUCCUUCAUUUUAAGCAUCUCAAAUUCUCUUUUUAAAGUGAG
rnacentral:misc_RNA from 1 species